GGGGUGAGCAGAUUAUGACUGAAUUUUCAUUUUGGUGUGAACUGUUCCUGUAAAUCAGUUUUUUAUAGUACAGCACAGUGAAACGUACUAAUUUUCAUUGUUUCCUGAUGCAGUGUAAGUGACAGACAUAUUAAUUCAUUGGCAGAAGAAUAUGGCAUAAAUAGGAGAUUCAAAGGUUUAAUUCAGGAUUCAAGAUUCAAAGGUUUAAUUAUCUUUAAUGAUCUUUUUAUUAAAAAAAAAUAGUGCAACCGGAAAUACAUUUUAAAUAAGAAAAUAAAACUGAAAACAGAAAAAAUAUAGAUAUACCUAUUAUAAACAAGUAAUAGAUAUAAAUAAGUGACAAAGACAGAUGUAUUUAUAUUACAGAAAAAGAUGAAGAAGACCGUGUGCAGAGUAGAAAGAUACGGGUUUAAUAUAUAUUUAUGAGCGUAUGUAAAUAUAAACUGUACUAAUAUACUAUUAUUAUCGAUCAUUUACAUGUAGAGUGUAACCUGAGGUACAGGCUACACACUCCGGUACAGUAGGUGGCGGUAUGCACCUUUGCACGUUGGAUUGCGAUCCGGGGAAGAAGAAGAAGAAGAAGAAGAAGAAGAAGACGACGACGAACAACAACAACAAGAAGAAGACGAAGUAGAGGGAAAAACAACAACACGAAAAAGUUAGAAGGUGAAGUUCGACGGACUCGCUAGCUAGUUUACAAGAAUGAAAUACGACUUUGGAUGCUCUUCCAUUGUCCUUUUCUUAAUAAAAAGUGGGAAAUGUUCGAGUUCCGAGAUGUCUGGAGCGCAGCCACAAGAAUAACGGCAAAAGGGCGUUUCAUUUGACGGCCUGUCGCUAUAACAUCAUCGAGAGUGUCAGAGAGCGAGGAAAGAAGUAAAACACCAGUUUGACAUCCUGUGAACCUGCUGAAGAUUAAAAAUGCCCACACCUGUGCAAACCCGAAAGUUGCUGAAAGAAUACCUGAGUCAUCUGAAUGAUAAAAGGAUGGAGGAAUUUCAUUGGGAAUUGUGGCAGAUUGAGACAGAUGGAUCCCAUCCCAUCCCGGAGUCCAAGCUGCCACGGAAUUCUACCAUAGAGGCAACUGUGGAUAAACUGGUGGAGGCUUUCGGGGAAGAUGAUGCUGUGGAGAGGACAGUGGCCGCUUUACGUGCGAUUAAACAUAAUGAACUUGCCUCAAAGCUAGAGCAAGCCAAAAUGGACCAAAGCAGGGAACAGAAAGCAGAUGAGCCAGAGAUCUCCUCUGCAACAGAGAAACCAAGAGGAGUCAAUCCCGACCUCACCAAGAAUAUCUCUUGUUUCUUUGCUGAACAUAUGCAGGGUGUCCUCAGUUGCUCCUGCGAUCACAAAGACUGGAAGAGCGACAUCUUUUGGACUCAGAGCUACUUCAAAGAGGAGCAGAUUAUGAACGACUUCAAGAGGCGUCGUGCCUUACUCCACGAAGAGGAAGAGACCAAACGAGCUGCAUUAAGAGAAGAAACAAGACAGAAGAUCCGUGCGACAAAUUGGAUCGCUGACACGACUGAAGACAUAUUCAUGGUCUCUGAAAUUAAAGCCAAUCGAAGGUUCCGGGCCAACAAAAGAUUCACAGAGACUUUGCAGGUCUGUACGGUUUUCAUAAUAAGCGUACUUUUGGCUGUGGGGAUUGGUUGGACUUUAACAAUUUUCGCACCGCCGGCUACAUGUGUCGAAGCACGUGGAAAACCUUCCGCUCGCAGUCUUGGAGAAGAUGUGGAACAACAUAAAAAAAACGGAGAUGAAGCUAAAUGAUACACAGCAGCCGUGUCCUUGAAACCCAGAAUGCAGCACCAGCCAUCAGCAGAAUCUACAGGAAAGUCCCAAAAGGAGGAGAGUAGAACAAGACUAUGAAAAUGGGAAAGUGUCAUUACAUGAUCCUGAUAAUAACACAUCCAUCCUGACCCAUGAGCAGACAUUCACUCAUUUUCCUGUCUUGAAUUUCGGUGAUGACACUGACGAUGAGGUCGAGCAGGGCUUUCUACUACUGAAAGACUAGUAGAACUAUAUUAAAACGGAAAUUAUAGAAAAACACAUUUGAUUGCAAAGGAUAUUAUUCUGUUCUUUAAACUAUCAAAACAGCUGGUGUUGUUUCCUACAAUUCAACAAAAGUACUCAACAGAUGGACUGCUACUAAACAAAAACAACCAAACAACAGAAUACCUCCUGACAGAAACUUUGGACAUCAGAGGUAAAGGGGCAGGAGCCAAAACCCUCUGAUGUCACAUCAUUGUACUUUAUUACUAUUGUUUGAUGUUACAUGCUUUAAACUUAUUAAGCCAUUAUUGUUGUUGUGAUGCACUCAGAUAAAAUCUUCAUAUCUUGCUUGAAAAAAUUAUAUUACGUGGUUGAAAUACUGAAAAACUUCUAUCUGAUGCACUGUUACAUUUAGCACUUAGCGCAAAGCACCACUGUGGCUAAAUCCAGCCUGACUGGGCUGCUGGCAUGACUGCUGACACUUAGUCUUGUUUUUUAAUGACCUGAAGUAAAUAUUUUAUACGAGGAAUCUCAGGUUAUCCGUUCAUCAUCAUUUUCAGAUGUUUCAUGAUGUAGUCAUCGCUGUGAAAUCCUGAUAUCUUGCAUCAAAAAUGUACAUGAUAGAAGUAUUGGAACACUGUUACAUUUGAUGUCAGGACAUUUUUUGUACAAGAUCAAUGUAUAAUUGUGAUCAUGUUUGCAUGCUGUUGUCAGUAUUUAGCUCAAAGUACCACUGUGCCUAAAUAUUCUAAAUGAGGAGACAUUUUUCCCCACGUCUUUGGGAUUUUGAGGUAUUUUUGUCAUUUGUUAUCAAAUCCUAAUAUCUUGCUUUCACAUGAUGCCACAUUUUACCAAGAUCAGUGUAUAAUUUAUCAAUAAAGCUCAUCAAAGCAUGUUGAUGCAGUGUUUUAUUAACUGGAGUUUAAACUAUAUUUCCUCUAGAAUAGAACUUUGUUAAAGAUAUAGAAUUAACAUAUCUAAAUACAACUAGACUGAGUUGUGUUUUACAUCAUCCUAGAUGUUUCCAGCCAUGUUAUUACACAUAUAUAUUGUAUAUUACAUAUUUUGGACAAAAAAUAAGUUGAGAAAACAAAUAUUUGUACAUUUUUACUGUCACUUAUUGUGAUGUUAUGACAAGCUGAGCCUGAUUAAGUGUCAGACUCUUAAUCUGCAGCUGAGCCUCACGUGGAGGCAGAAAGACAAUUGGAGUAUUUACAGUAGAGUGUAAUAAAUAUUAUGAUUCCCACUGAAGAACCUGUGACUUCAUUAUAGCAGUAAUGACGUAGUCUGAAUAUUACAGGCUGGCACACACAGGGUGCGCGUAUGGCAAGCUGUUCUAACAUUUAAUAGCUAGACUGGAUAUGUAUUGCAGAUAUCUGUAAUUCAAUUCUUCCUAGUCAAAUAGAACAUUUCAGAUAUCUACAAUGGCAUUCUUCCUAGGACAAAUGACGCCACUUUUGCCAUUCAUGUGUAUUGGGCUUUCAAUUCACACAAUAUCCACAAUUACAUUCUGGAUAUCUAGAAUGAACAUUCUGGAUAUCUGCAGCUG
ensembl:lncRNA